UACGGAGGGUGCAAGCGUUGUCCGGAAUCACUGGGCGUAAAGGGCGCGUAGGCGGCCUGGUAAGUAGGGGGUGAAAUCCUGCGGCUUAACCGCAGGGCUGCCUUCUAAACUGUCAGGCUUGAGCACGGUAGAGGCAGAUGGAAUUCCUGGUGUAGCGGUGAAAUGCGCAGAUAUCAGGAAGAACACCGAUGGCGAAAGCAGCUCUCUGGGACGGUACUGACGCUGAGGCGCGAAAGCGUGGGGAGCGAACAGG
rnacentral:rRNA from 1 species